UACGAAGGGUGCAACGUUGCUCGGAAUUAUUGGGCGUAAAGCGCACGUAGGCGGCAUUGCAAGUCCCAUGUGAAAUCCCACGGCUUAACCGUGGAAGUGCAUGGGAAACUGCAGUGCUUGAGUACUUAAGAGGAUCGCGGAAUUCCCGGUGUAGAGGUGAAAUUCGUAGAUAUUCGCAAGAACACCAGUGGCGAAGGCGGCUCACUGGCCCGGUACUGACGCUGAGGUGCGAAAGCGUGGGGAGC
rnacentral:rRNA from 1 species